AAGCUUGCCGGUGAUGUGCGCGUUGAAGAGCUACGUAGUUUGCUGUUGAAUCUGAAAGUGGAUGGAAGAGAAAUUGUUGAGUGAUAACAAAUCUUAUAGUUAUUUUGUGGUUUUGAUCCAAGUGAUACUGUUCACCAACCUGCACCUUAACAACCUACUUUGUGGGGCUGAUUGAAACCCGACUUCAACAUUGCGUGCUUCAACAGCGUUCAAUAUAGCUUUUUAUAUUUUGAUGAUCCAGCUUUGUCAGCAUAGUGUUUUGUAAGGGGUUACCUGAAUCAUUGGAAGAUAUUAUGCCUUUUUCAAUUAUAACGACGCAUGGCCCAAAAGGCUUUUCUGAACUUACACUAGUGCCAGAUGGUUGGAUCCAGAGUACCAGUGCUGGGAAAAGUUAUGUGUAUUGGCCCAAAGGAGACAUAGCUAAGCUGAUCAAAGUUGAAACAAGUACUCCUUCAUCUGGAUGGACGAGACAAGCGUGUGUAGUUCAAAAAUCAAAUAUUUUAUCUUUACAACAAGGUAUAGCUAUACUUAGCGAUAUGUCAGGAGAAUCGAGUGAUGAUUCUUGUAUCAUACAAUCCGUAAAAACUAUGUAUAGGCAGCGAUUUGGCCAGAGAGCAUUAGAAAAUGCUAACAAAGUUAACGCCUUGUCUGAAAAUUGUAUACAGUUAGAAACAGGCACUUUAGCUACAGGUUGCUCACAAUUCAAGACAGACACUUUAGCUAAAGGUGGUUCACAGUUAGAGAGAGACAUUUUACCGUAUGGUUGUGCACAAUUAGAUACAAAUACUUCACCCAAAGGUUGUUCACAGUUAGAAACAGACACUACGAAUGAAUUCAUGGAAUCAGCACAGCCGAGUGUUGCACCAGAAACGACUAGAAAGGAUUUUCCUUCAGUUCCUUCUCAAUUAGAGCAAAAUAAUAGCUUUUCUCCUACAAAUCACAUGGAAAAUGCAAUCACAAGUUUGAUCGCUGUUGUAGGUGGUUUAAUUCAACAAAUCAGCGACAUAAAUUCCAACAAACUGAUAGGAUUAGAUAAAAUUGAUAAUUUAACAAUAGUACUAGAGCAGCAGAUCGUACCAACGUUAGGUGGUCUUGUAGAGGAAUUUAAAGAGUUAAAAAAAAAGUUAAUUUAAAUACGGUACAAAUGGAUCUGUUCAUUAACAGUUUGGAGCAAGAAAACAGAAAAAGAAAAAAACCAUCAUUUUCAAUGGAUCCGAUCGAUAACCAUAAAGAUUUAAAGGAUUUUGACAAAAGUCUUGAGGAAGACGAUUUUAAAACAUCUGUUAUUGAUUGGCUUACCCAUAACAUAUGUGAAACAAACAGUAAUAAUAGAAUGUUAGAUGCUUUGGAUAUGUUACUGAAUCGUUCAUUUUGUACGCAAAUUAGUUGGUCAGGACAAGGCAAAGAAAACUCGAAAAUACCGAUAAAAAUGUUUCCUAAUUUCUUAGAAGUUUUUAGAGAGAUAGGUACAACCCAUUUGACUUUGGUAACAGAUCAAUGCUUGAAAGAUUUUUUCAUAAAAAAAUUAAAGCAUAGCCAAGAAAGAUGCAUGAUUCAAGGGUUACGAAAACCUACUUCUCACAACAAAAGAUGUUGAUGUUAAGAAGUUUUUGAAUACAUUUAUUAAUUAAUAAUAAAAAGAUUAAAAACUUGGUCGCAUUAUGUUUCUACAGAAUGUGUUUAAAAAUAACAGAAACGUGAAUUGCCAUAAAAAAUGAAUUCUCGUAAAACCAUUUAACUAAGGCUUACUAUACGCUCUAUAUAUUAGUUAAAUUUGAUUCAAUUUGACAUGUUUGUUUAGUUGUUAACUACAUAACUAAUUUCUAUUCUAUAAAAGUGUGUAGUAGCGGAAUGAAAAAAAAAUUGGAUCCAUCAGGUUCGACACUAUUAAUUGCUACCAGCUUACAUUUUACAUCUUCACAUCUGUAUUCGGACGCUGAACGAGUAAUUUUCUUUAUAUCACCUUCAAACGCAUGCAAUAUUUGUGAAGAAAAUGGACUAUCAAAUGCAUCAUAACAAUCAAGUAAUUUGAAACCCUGAAUAACAAUUGAUCCGUGUUCUUUAGUAGCAGAAUGGUACUUCACAAUACAAUUAUCAGUUGUCAAAAACCAAGAAUCAGGAAAAUAAUUUCUCAGUAGACAACCACUUCGUAAAUGUAACUGCAUGCUACCAUUUUUUUGAAUUUUAAGGAAAGGAAAUUGUACUUUAGUCAUAUUUAUAGGUUUAAAAUUCAUUAAUUCAAUUUUUCUAUUAGCUAUCUGUUGCAAAUUUUUGUAUCCUGAUCUGAGC